UUUAAGUAUAAAUAUGUAAUAAAAUUAGUAUUAGUUAUGUUCUUGAAAUUUAAAGAUUUUGGCGGUAUUUUAGUCUUUUCAGAGGAACCUGUUCUGUAAUCGAUAGUCCACGAUUAAUAUUACUUAUUUUAAUUAGUUUGUAUAUCGUCGUAGUUGAAUAUUUCAUUAGGAUUUAAAUAUUCAAGAUUUAAAAUAAUAAAUUAAAUCAGAUCAAGGUGCAAUUUAUAAAUAAGAAGAGAUGGGUUACAAUAAAAGUAUUUAUAUGAAUAAAUUAAUGAAAAAGAUUUUGAAGGUGGAUUNGAAAGUAAUAAAAUNNAUUUAGAUUU
rnacentral:rRNA from 1 species